rnacentral:rRNA from 1 species
UACGGAGGGUGCAAGCGUUAUCCGGAUUCACUGGGUUUAAAGGGUGCGUAGGUGGGUCUGUAAGUCAGUGGUGAAAUCUCCGGGCUUAACCUGGAAACUGCCAUUGAUACUAUAGAUCUUGAAUUUUCUGGAGGUAAGCGGAAUAUGUCAUGUAGCGGUGAAAUGCUUAGAUAUGACAUAGAACACCAAUUGCGAAGGCAGCUUGCUACAGGAAUAUUGACACUGAGGCACGAAAGCGUGGGGAUCAAACAGG